rnacentral:misc_RNA from 1 species
GAAAAAUCGAACCAAAACCAUUCCACACAGAUUUUCGAUUAUAGCUUUGAUUGCUGAACCUACCCUUUUCGUUAACAGCGAAGUAGAUUCAAUGCUGAGUAUCCAUAAAUGCAUCACCAGUAGAUCCCAGUAGAUCUCUCACUCGCUAUCUCCAAAUAGGGGGACAGUGAGACACCCAAACUCCAUAGCUCCGUGGUUACAUAGAUUGCAUUGACAGAGAAACAAGCAGAAAUGUCAAGGAGAUCAGGGGCUUGCUUGAGAUGUUGUUUGGUCGUAUUUGCAGUAAUUUCAGCUUUGGCUGUGUGUGGCCCUGCUCUUUAUUGGAGAUUUAAGAAAACCAUU